rnacentral:rRNA from 2 species
UGGGGAAUAUUGCACAAUGGGCGAAAGCCUGAUGCAGCAACGCCGCGUGAGGGAAGACGGUCUUCGGAUUGUAAACCUCUGUCCUUGGUGAAGAACAAAUGACGGUAGCCUUGGAGGAAGCCACGGCUAACUACGUGCCAGCAGCCGCGGUAAUACGUAGGUGGCAAGCGUUGUCCGGAUUUACUGGGUGUAAAGGGAGCGCAGGCGGGAAAGCAAGUCAGCUGUGAAAACUAUGGGCUUAACCCAUAGACUGCAGUUGAAACUGUUUUUCUUGAGUGGAGUAGAGGUAAGCGGAAUUCCGAGUGUAGCGGUGAAAUGCGUAGAGAUUCGGAGGAACACCAGUGGCGAAGGCGGCUUACUGGGCUCUAACUGACGCUGAGGCUCGAAAGUGUGGGGAGCAAACAGG